rnacentral:piRNA from 1 species
UCCUGUAGGGCACACCUGUAGCC